UACGUAGGGGGCAAGCGUUGUCCGGAAUCAUUGGGCGUAAAGAGCGUGUAGGCGGCCAGAAAAGUCCGCUGUGAAAACUCGAGGCUCAACUUCGAGCUGUCGGUGGAAACUUUCUGGCUAGAGUCCGGAAGAGGAGAAUGGAAUUCCUGGUGUAGCGGUGAGAUGCGCAGAUAUCAGGAAGAACACCCGUGGCGAAGGCGGUCUCUGGGACGGUACUGACGCUGAGACGCGAAAGCGUGGGGAGCGAACAGG
rnacentral:rRNA from 1 species